AAAAAAAAUAUAUUUCCGCGAAAAGUUCACAUUUUUACGUGUGUUUGUUUGUAAAGUUUUUCAAUUUAUUGUAUUUAUGAAUUAUAAAAAGAAGCAAUGAACCCGGAAGAUAUCGCUAAUUGCCAGUUUGUACCUAUCAGCUCAAUAGAAAAAGCAUUAAACUAUGUUGAAAAUGAAAAAGUUUUACGCUACAGCCUAUGUAAGAGGGACCUUUUAAAAUUGCAAACACACCACACUCAGGCUGUUAGAGCUUCUCUGAGAGAAAAGUUUUUGAAAAAUGUGUACCACAAGGCGCUGCAUCAUGCUAUUUAUACGCACGACUGGAAUAAACUUCUGUAUUUCUUGAAACGGGCACCAAUCUGGAAACAGGAUACCCGUUUGCAUGAUAUGCCACUCUAUAUCCGAAGUCUCACCAUCCUGCUAAUGUAUCACCCAAGUGCCAAAGCUCAAGACCUCCUCCGGACCUAUUUCCACAUGGUUUGCACUCGACGUUCGGAGCGUGAGAAGAAAGCGCUCAUGAAAAUUAUACUUACACUGCCCGAGACAAUUAGAGAACGAUUGGGAUUGAAUAAGUUGCUUAGAAAAGACGAUGAUGAUGAUAA